rnacentral:rRNA from 1 species
GAUGAACGCUGGCGGCGUGCCUAAUACAUGCAAGUCGAGCGAACAGAUGAGGAGCUUGCUCCUCUGACGUUAGCGGCGGACGGGUGAGUAACACGUGGAUAACCUACCUAUAAGACUGGGAUAACUUCGGGAAACCGGAGCUAAUACCGGAUAAUAUAUUGAACCGCAUGGUUCAAUAGUGAAAGACGGUUUUGCUGUCACUUAUAGAUGGAUCCGCGCCGCAUUAGCUAGUUGGUAAGGUAAAUGCUUACCAAGGCGACGAUGCGUAGCCGACCUGAGAGGGUGAUCGGCCACACUGGAACUGAGACACGGUCCAUAGUCCUACGGGAGGCAGCAGUAGGGAAUCUUCCGCAAUGGGCGAAAGCCUGACGGAGCAACGCCGCGUGAGUGAUGAAGGUCUUCGGAUCGUAAAACUCUGUUAUUAGGGAAGAACAAAUGUGUAAGUAACUAUGCACGUCUUGACGGUACCUAAUCAGAAAGCCACGGCUAACUACGUG